CCAAACAGUGAUCUUUAUUUAUUUAAUUGGUCAGUGGACUGUCCCUUUAAAGUGCAUGGUUCUUGUUCCCAGUACCUUCCUGCAUAUCUAAAACAGAACUAAUGGAGAUAACAAGCAAAUGGGAAAAAUGUUUCUGGGACCAAUAUUUGCUGGGUCAAUGCCCCGAAAGACUGGUGAGAGGGCUGUAGACCACUAUGAUAGACGUGAGAGGGCAGUAGUACACUAGGAUAGAGAUGAGAGGGCUGUAGGCGACAAUGAUAGAGGUGAUAGGGCUGUUGACCACCAUGAUGUUUCUAUGUUUCUAUGAUGCAGGUGAGAGGGCUGUGGACCACAAGAAUAGAAGUGAGAGGGCUGUGGACCACAAGAAUAGAGGUGAGAGGGCUGUGGACCACUAGGAUAGAGGUGAGAGGGCUGUAGACCACUAGGAUAGAGGUGAGAGGGCUGUAGACCACUAUGAUACAGGUGAGAGGGCUGCAGACCACUAGGAUAAAGGCAAGAGGACUGUUGACCACUAUAAAAGAGGUGAGAGGGCUGUUGACCACCAUGAUACAGGUGAUAGGGCUGCGGAUCACUAUGAUAGAGGUGAGGGCUGUAGACCACUAUGAUAGAUGUGAUGGAAGUUUAUUGUUCUCUCAAUGAAGUAGGGUGGCGCAGGACUGAGUGGAGAGAUCUAGUGAUCUGUCUUCAAGUUUAAAGAAGGCCCCUUCAGAGCCAGAGCUGGAGCUCGAGGGCAACACAUGGGCCCACCAGCCCCUAUCUUAGCCCAUACACUAGGCGGCUGCCUCUAGGUACUGAGGUGGUAUGUAAUUGUUUUUCAGGAAUGCUAUUUCAGAUUUUACUGGACUGGACGGAGCAGAAAAAGCAAGUAAAAAGACCACACACUUGCCUCCACUGAAAUUCUGCAAAAUCAUUGUCCCAUGAUACUUUGAGGUAAUGGUUUGGUUAGUAUGUAUGUGUCUAUGUAAGUGUGUAUCUACCUAUGUAUAUGCAGGCAUGCCCGUUACUAUGAAUGUACACAUAAAGUAUGCGUAUGAUGGUCGUGUGUAUCUACCUAUGUAUAUGCAGGCAUGCCUGUUACUAUGAAUGUACACAUAAAGUAUGCAUAUGAUGGAUGUGUGUAUAUGCUUGCAUGAGGGCAAAUGAAUGUAUGUAUAAGAGUCAGCACAUUUGUAUUUAUGAAAGAGAGUAUUCACAGAUGGAUUUAUGAGUGAAAGUGUGUGUAUAUCCUUGUUUUACCUGAUUAUUACAUUAUAACCUUUACUUCACAACCGCAGGGACAGUCCAUUGUCCUUUGCCAUCAAUAAAUUGAAGGCCACAAGAAUGCCAGCUAAACAGGGCUUAUCAUUUAUUCCCUAAAUAGAAAUAAUCAAAACAGCGACAAAACAAAAAGAACUAAUGCAGAGAAAAAGCAAAUGGGAAAAAAACGAAAACAAAUCAGGUGAAGGCCGAGGGGGAAUAGCUGUCCCUCUCAUGAAAUCCUAGAAUUGUGUCUACUUAAACUGUAUUUAGCAUUAUUUUGUACUUAUGAAAUAUUGUAUCAUGCAUGAUAUACUGGUUACUAUAAAGGCAUAAUAUAACGUGAUAAAGUUGACACAACAGAUUGUGUGAUACUAAAGCUGUUUGGUGCUGCUGUGCCAAACAAAUACUCAGGACUCUCUUGGACUGCAGAGGCAAUUUGUAUCUUGGUAAGACUAAGAAAAAGUUCUGUAAAGAACUUUUAAGCUAUAUUUCAUUAGCAUUACACUGAUCAGCCACAACAUUAAAACCAACUGCCCAAUAUCGGACAUCCGAGUGCUGCCAAAACACCUCUGAUGUGUUGAGGCAUGGACUCCACAAGACCACUGAAUGGUCCUUGUGGUAUCUGGUACCAAGACAUUAGCAACAGAUCCUUUAAAUCCUGCAAGAUGGAAGGUAGUUGUUCCAGCACAUCCCACAGAUGCCCAACCAAAUAUGACCAUACUGUUAUUCUUAAUAACACUUUUCUCAAUCCAAUUUUGUUCACAUCACUACCGCCAAAAGCACAUAUCUCAAACUGGAAGACAAAUUAUCAUACACCAUGGCCUGCUCUGUUGCUGUAACUUAUCUGGAUAUGGAUAACAAUAGGGAUACAGCUAGAUGCUAUAAAGUAAGAAAAAAACAGCACAUAGUGAUUUACAGCAUUUAACGCUGACACGUAAAAUCAUAAGUAGCACUCACAGAGUUGAAAUCAAAUGGAUGCCUUGAAAUCCAUAAAUGGAUUAUACUGGUCUGCCUUCCACCAUUCAGGCUAAUGCAGCAGGUCCAGGAAUAUCAGAUAGAAGAAUCAGGAUGCAAAAAUAAAAAAAU